GGUUAUGGCCAUGCCACCCUGAACAAGCCUGAUCCCAUCUGAUCUCAGAAGCUAAGCAGGCCUGGUUAGUACUUUGAUGGGAGACCACCUAGGAAGUCCAGGGCCUGGUUAGUACUUGGAUGGGAGACCACCUAGGAAGACCAGGUGCUGUAGGCG
rnacentral:rRNA from 1 species